AGGGCUCGGUACACUGCUCUCACUUCCCUUUGGUGUGGCUGCUGUUCCUCACUUCUCCCUGAGUGCUCGGGAACUUACAGGGUAAAAUUUGGAGCUGCUGAAAUCAGACCGAAAGAUGGAAAUGAAAAAUGUUGAAGAUCUGCCACAUUUCUGGGAUACCAUAAGGUUUGAGUUCUGACUAAAGCAGAGGUACAAUAAAGACUGGAUUUCAGCAAAGCAUUUGACAGCUGUUUCCUGCAGCCAUCUCCUGGACAAACUGGCAAGAUACAAAUUGGAUGAGCGGUCUGUGAGGUUAAGACUGGAUAUUUGAGAUCUAACUGAACUACUGUAAGCCAGGAACAAUGAAAAACAUAUAUUGUGGUGCUUUUCAAGUUUUCUUCCUAAUUUAUGAAGACUGUGUGGGAGAAGACAACAAUCUGUACUCAGGAGAGAUGCAGUGAAUCAGCCUGUUCCUUAUGGUGAAAUGUUCUUUUACGCAGCUGCUGUACCUUGG